rnacentral:rRNA from 1 species
CGCACGGGUGAGUAACACGUAUCCAACCUGCCGUCUACUCUUGGACAGCCUUCUGAAAGGAAGAUUAAUACAAGAUGGCAUCAUGAGUCCGCAUGUUCACAUGAUUAAAGGUAUUCCGGUAGACGAUGGGGAUGCGUUCCGUUAGAUAGUAGGCGGGGUAACGGCCCACCUAGUCUUCGAUGGAUAGGGGUUCUGAGAGGAAGGUCCCCCACAUUGGAACUGAGACACGGUCCAA